UGGGGAAUUUUGCGCAAUGGGGGAAACCCUGACGCAGCAACGCCGCGUGAGUGAUGAAGGCCUUCGGGUCGUAAAGCUCUGUCAGAGGGAAAGAAGUGUAUCAAUGCUAAUAUCAUUGGUACUUGACGGUACCCUCAAAGGAAGCACCGGCUAACUCCGUGCCAGCAGCCGCGGUAAUACGGAGGGUGCGAGCGUUGUUCGGAAUUAUUGGGCGUAAAGCGCGUGUAGGCGGUUUUUUAAGUCUGAUGUGAAAGCCCCGGGCUCAACCUGGGAAGUGCAUUGGAAACUGGGAGACUUGAAUACGGGAGAGGGGAGUGGAAUUCCUGGUGUAGGAGUGAAAUCCGUAGAUAUCAGGAGGAACACCGGUGGCGAAGGCGGCUACCUGGACCGAUAUUGACGCUGAGACGCGAAAGCGUGGGGAGCAAACA
rnacentral:rRNA from 1 species